GCCCCGGCUAACUACGUGCCAGCAGCCGCGGUAAUACGUAGGGGGCGAGCGUUAUCCGGAUUCAUUGGGCGUAAAGCGCUCGUAGGCGGCCUGUAAGGUCGGGAGUUAAAGGCGGAGGCUUAACCUCCGCAUGCUCCCGAUACCGGCAGGCUUGAGUUUGGUAUGGGAAGGCGGAAUUCCCGGUGUAGCGGUGGAAUGCGCAGAUAUCGGGAAGAACACCGGUGGCGAAGGCGGCCUUCUGGGCCAUAACUGACGCUGAGGAGCGAAAGCUGGGGGAGCGAACAGGAUUAGAUACCCUGGUAGUCCCAGCCGUAAACGAUGGACACUAGGUGUGGGGGGAUCAUCCUUCCGUGCCGCAGCCAACGCAUUAAGUGUCCCGCCUGGGGAGUACGGCCGCA
rnacentral:rRNA from 1 species